GUCUAGGUAGUAUAUAGUAUUACACCACCUUUUCGUGGUGGAAAAGAAUAAAGGUUUUCUCUAGAUU
rnacentral:tRNA from 1 species